UUAAGUUCAGCGGGUAGUCUCACCCGAUUUGAGGCCAAGGGUUCGUGGGGUCGAGAGGGUUUCCCGAGAAGGGAGACAAGCUCGAACAUUGUCUCGACGCAAGGUCAAGACGGUUAGAAGCGGGUCCCAAAGGCAACAGAGCCAGAAACCGAGACACGGAAGCAUCUUAUCACAUGUCAAGGAUCGGCAAAGAGGACCCC
rnacentral:misc_RNA from 1 species